rnacentral:rRNA from 1 species
AACGAACGCUGGCGGCGCGUCUUAAGCAUGCAAGUCGAGCGGCAAGGAGGAGCAAUCCUCCCUAGAGCGGCGGACUGGUGAGUAGCGCGUGGGUGACCUACCUAUUGGUUGGGGAUAGUCGUUAGAAAUAGCGGGUAAUACCGAAUAAUGUUGCGGUGCUAUGGCAUUGCAAAGAAAGGGGCUAAGGCCCCGCCUAUAGAUGGGCCCGCGUUCCAUUAGCUAGUUGGUGAGGUAAAGGCCCACCAAGGCGAUGAUGGGUAGCCGGCCUGAGAGGGUGAACGGCCACACUGGGACUGAGAUACGGCCCAGACUCCUACGGGAGGCAGCAGCUAAGAAUAUUCCGCAAUGGACGAAAGUCUGACGGAGCGACGCCGCGUGUAUGAUGAAGGCCGAAAGGUUGUAAAGUACUUUUACGGAUGAAGAAUAAGUGUGGGAGGGAAUGCCCGCAUGAUGACGUUAGUCCGUGAAUAAGCCCCGGCUAAUUACGUGCCAGCAGCCGCGGUAACACGUAAGGGGCGAGCGUUGUUCGGAAUUAUUGGGCGUAAAGGGCGCGUAGGCGGUUACGCAAGUCUGGCGUGAAAUCCUGGGGCUUAACUCCGGGCCUGCGUUGGAAACUGUGUAACUAGAGUCAUGGAGGGGGAGUUGGAAUUCCUGGUGUAGGGGUGAAAUCUGUAGAUAUCAGGAAGAACACCGGUGGCGAAGGCGAACUUCUGGCCAAUGACUGACGCUGAGGCGCGAAAGUGCGG